GCUGGUUUCAUAUGGCUGGAUUCUUUUGUCACAGUCUGCAUUUCAUCCUAGGAUUGUCCUGAUUCCCUAAAUGAAUUGUAUUUUUUUGAGACAGGGUCUGGCAGCCUCGAACCCCUGGAGGCUUAGGUGAUCCUCCCACCUCAGCCCCCAAGUAGCUGGGACCACAGGCUCAGCUAAUUUUUACUUUUUUUUGCAGAUAUCAACCUCUCUAUGUUUCCUAGGCUGGUCUCAAACUCCUGGACUCAAGCAAUCCUCCUGCCUUAGCCUCCACAAGUGCUGGGAUUACAGGCAUGAGCAACUGCAUCCGGCUAAACAACCUCUCUUCUUGCAACACUGUUUCCUUGUGAGCUCAUUAACAUGCUAAUUACCACAUUCCACAGGAAGAUGGAUUACAGAGCAAUAAGACAGGCUGGGUUCACCCUGGAACGUGACCAGUAGUGACAGCCUCUAACAAUGACACAGGUACCGUUAUCGAUGCUGGGAGAAGAGAAAAGGACAUCAUUUUGCCCUCAGGGAGCUCAUGGUCUAACGGAGAGAGAGACAUGUGAACAACUACAACGUCUGCGGUCUAAGAAAACACUAAAUUGGAGACGUGUUCAAAGCAGUGCAGGGGAGGGAGCGGAGUGAGACUUCCGGGGUCACCCAGAAGGGCUUCCCGGCAGCUCAUCAGCUAUCAUUAUUGUAUUUUACAUGGAGCCCAAGACAAUUCUUCUUCUAACACGGCCCAGGGAAGCCAAAAGAUUGGACUUCGCCACUUUAAGAUAAGCGGUUGUUGACUUUAAGACAAAAAAGGACACUUUAUAAUGACUAAAAAAAUCAAUCCAUCAGGAAUACACACCAUUAUAAACAUAAUGUACCAAACAACUGAGCACCAAAACACAUGAAGCAAAAACUGGUAACACUGAAGGGAGAAACAGACAACUUAACAAAAGUAGUUGAAGACUUCAGUGCCCAACUUUCAAUAAUGGACGGAACAGCUAGGCAGAAGAUCAGCAAGGAAACAGAAGGCUGAACAAGCUACACCUACAGACCACUGCAGAACACCCAAUCACAGAACACACAUUCUUCUGAAGAGCACAUGAAACAUUUGCCAGGAAACAUCAAAUGCUAAACCAUAAAACAAGCCUCAAUAAAAUUAAGAGGACUGAUAUCACACACAGUCUGUUCUGUGAUCAAAAUGGAAUGAAAUUAGAAAUCGAUAAUAGAAGGAAAUUUGAGAAAUUCAUAAAUAUGUGGAAAUUAAACAACUCCUAAAUACAAAUGGGUGAAAGAAGAAAUCAGAAAAUUUAACAGUACUUGAAAUAAAUGAAAACACAAUAUACAGAAAUUUAUGGGAUGCAGUGAAAACAGUACGUACAGGGAAAUGUACAGCUAUAAACACCUAUAUUAGCCAGACAUGGUGGCUCAUGCCUGUAGUCGCAGCUACUUGGAAAGCUGAGGCAGGAGGAUCAUUUGAGUCCAGAAGUUUGAGACCAGCCUGGACAACAUAGCAAGACCUCAUUCCAAACCAAAAAAAAAAAAACCCCCAAACCCCAACUAUAUUUAAAAAGAAGAAUGAUCUCAAAUCAGGAAUUGAAACUUCCACUUAAGAAACAGAAAAAAAAAGUAGCAAGCAAAAUCCAAAGUAAGCAGAAAGGAAAUAAUAAAGAUUAAAGCAGAAAUAAAUAAAACAGAAUAGAAAAAAAUCAAGGAAAAUCAAUAAAAGUAAAAAUAGAUUAUUUUAAAAGAUCAACCAAAUUUCUGAACCUUUAGCUAGACUGACCAAUAAAAAGGAGAGAAUGCAAAUUACUAAAGUCGAGAAUAAAAGAGAGAGGCCAGGUACAGUGGCUCACACCUGUAAUCCCAGCACUUUGGGAGGCUGAGGCAGGAGGAUGGAGACCGGCUUGGGCAAGAUAGCAAGACUCCAUCUCUUAAAAAAAAAAGGAAAAUUAGCCAGGCAUGGCUAGGCGUGGUGGCUCAUGCCUGUAAUCCCAACACUUUGGGAAGCUAAGGUGGGAGGAUCACUUGAGGCCAGGAGUUUCAGACCAGUGUGGGCAACAUAGUGAGAUUGCCUAAGGAGGUCAAGGCUGCAGUCAAGCUAUGAUUGAACCACUGCACUCCACCCAGAAUGACAGAGUGAGACUCUGUCUCAAAAAAAAAAAAAAGGCGGGGGGGCGAGGGAGGCCAAGGCAGGAGGAUUACUUGAGGCCAGGAGCUCAAGACCAGGCUGGGAAACAUAGUGAGACCCUAGCUCUACAAAAAAGUAAAACAAAAAUGAGCUGGGCGUGGUGGCUUAUGCCUGUAGUCCAGCUACUCAGGAGGCUGAAGCAGGAGGAUCACUUGAGCCCAGGAAUUCGGGGCUACAGUGAGCCAUGAUCAAGCCACUGAUUUCUAGCCUGGGUGACACAGCAAGACCCUGUCUCUAUAAAAUAACAACUAAGAAAGAAUAAAAGAGAGGGAAUCAAUGCUGACCUUACAAUAAUAAAAGGGAUAAUAGGGGAAUCGUUUAAAUUGUAUGCCAACAAAUCCAAUAACUAAGAUGAGAUGCAGAAAUUCCUACAAAUAAACAAACUAUCGAAAAACUUUCCACAAAGAAAAUGUCAGACACAGACGGUUUCAAUUGUAAUUCCACCAAAUGUUUAAAGAAUUAAUACAAAUUCUUCACAAACUUUUCCAAAAAUAGAAGAUGGAACAUUUCUAACUCAUUCUGUGAGGGGCCAAUAUAUUCUGAUGUUAAAACCAGACAAAGACAUCACAAUAAAACUGCAGAUCAAUAGCCCCUAAAAAAUAAAGAUGAAAAAAUCCUCAACAGAGUACUAGCAAUCCAAUUCCAGCAACUUUUUUUUUUUUUUUUGGAGAUGAAGUCUUGCUUUGUCGCCAGGCUGGAGUGCAGGGGCGCAAUCUUGGCUCAC
rnacentral:lncRNA from 10 species